rnacentral:rRNA from 1 species
UACUCGAGUGGCGAACGGGUGAGUAACACGUGGGUGAUCUGCCCUGCACUUCGGGAUAAGCUUGGGAAACUGGGUCUAAUACCGGAUAGGAGCCAUCUUUAGUGUGGUGGUUGGAAAGUUUUUUCGGUGUAGGAUGAGCUCGCGGCCUAUCAGCUUGUUGGUGGGGUAAUGGCCUACCAAGGCGGCGACGGGUAGCCGGCCUGAGAGGGUGACGGCCACAUUGGGACUGAGAUACGGCCCAG